UUAAACGGCCGCGGUACCCUAACCGUGCGAAGGUAGCGUAAUCACUUGUUCUCUAAAUUAGGACUAGUAUGAAUGGCAUCACGAAGGUUAUACUGUCUCCCCUUUUUAAUCAGUGAAACUAAUCUCCCCGUGAAGAAGCGGGAAUUUAAUUAUAAGACGAGAAGACCCUAUGGAGCUUUAAACUAAAAACACCUGUUAUUAAAUUUAAAAAUUCCCAUAUAUUUUUACAUAAUGAUUUAUAGUUUUAGGUUGGGGUGACCAUGGAGUAAAAAUUAACCUCCAUAAUGAAUCUAAUUAAGCAAAAAAUUACAAUUUUAUUCAUCAAUACAUUGACAUUUAUUGACCCAAUAUUUUGAUCAUUGAACCAAGUUACCCUAGGGAUAACAGCGCAAUCUACUUUUAAAGUUCAUAUCGACAAGUAGGUUUACGACCUCGAUGUUGGAUCAGGAUAUCCCAGUGGUGCAGCCGCUACUAAAGGUUCGUUUGUUCAACGAUUAAAAUCCUACGUGA
rnacentral:rRNA from 1 species